rnacentral:misc_RNA from 1 species
UGGUUCUGGCAUCGAUGAAGAACGCAGCGAAAUGCGAUAAGUAAUGCGAAUUGCAGAAUUCCGUGAGUCAUCGAAUCUUUGAACGCACAUUGCGCCCUUUGGUAUUCCGAAGGGCAUGCCUGUUCGAGCGUCAUUAUCAACCCUCAAGCCUGGCUUGUUGUUGGAUCUCAGGUCGGAAACGACGUGGAUCCCGAAGACAAUGACGGUGUUCUUGGGACCCUCGGUACAAUGAGCUUUCACGAGCACGUAUCGCAGGUUCGGUCCCUCGAGCCCGGUCACCUAUACCCCAUUUUCUCAGGUUGACCUCGGAUCAGGUAGGAUUACCCGCUGA